UNCAAUGCGGGCAACCGUGAUAAGGAAACCCCGAGNGCCAGCAUAGGCNGGCNGUCCANCANNGUAAACAGCNGGUGAAGAAAGGGCCGGGCAAGACCGGUGCCAGCCGCCGCGGUAAUACCGGCGGCUCGAGUGGUGGCCGCUAUUACUGGGCUUAAAGGGUCCGUAGCUUGAUAUGCAAGUCACUUGAGAAAUCCGCCAGCUUAACUGGCGGGCGUUCAGGGGAAACUGCAUUUCUAGGGACCGGGAGAGGUGAGAGGUACUGCCGGGGUAGGAGUGAAAUCCUGUAAUCCCGGUGGGACCACCUAUGGCGAAGGCAUCUCACCAGAACGGGUCCGACAGUGAGGGACGAAAGCUGGGGGAGCAAACCGGAUUAGAUACCCGGGUAGUCCCAGCUGUAAACGAUGCGCGUUAGGUGUGUCAGUGACCACGUGUCACUGAGGUGCCGAAGGGAAACCGUGAAACGCACCGCCUGGGAAGUACGGUCGCAAGGCUGAAACUUAAAGGAAUUGGCGGGGGAGCACCACAACGGGUGGAGCCCGCGGUUUAAUUGGAUUCAACGCCGGG
rnacentral:rRNA from 1 species